rnacentral:rRNA from 1 species
GAUGAACGCUGGCGGCGUGCCUAAUACAUGCAAGUCGAGCGAACAGACGAGGAGCUUGCUCCUCUGACGUUAGCGGCGGACGGGUGGGUAACACGUGGAUAACCUACCUCUAAGACUGGGAUAACUUCGGGAAACCGGAGCUAAUACCGGAUAAUAUAUUGAACCGCAUGGUUCAAUAGUGAAAGACGGUUUUGCUGUCACUUAUAGCUGGAUCCGCGCCGCAUUAGCUAGUUGGUAAGGUAACGGCUUACCAAGGCAACGAUGCGUAGCCGACCUGAGAGGGUGAUCGGCCACACUGGAACUGAGACACGGUCCAGACUCCUACGGGAGGCAGCAGUAGGGAAUCUUCCGCAAUGGGCGAAAGCUUGACGGAGCAACGCCGCGUGAGUGAUGAAGGUCUUCGGAUCGUAAAACUCUGUUAUUAAGGAAGAACAAAUGUGUAAGUAACUAUGCACGUCUUGACGGUACCUAAUCAGAAAGCCACGGCUAACUACGUG